rnacentral:lncRNA from 1 species
GAGCCCGGCGGACGCUGGGUCUGCAGAUGCCAUCCAGGCGCACGGCGGGUAUAGUGGUUCCGCAACCUUGGGAUGUUCGGCUGAGCGCCUGCCUAACAUGGGAGCGCCUGCCUAACCCUCCUGACUGGAGGGUCAGCGGCGGGGAGUCCUGGCCUUCAAUCGGCCAUCGCCACGGCAGAAACUGGGGCCCGGGCUGCGUCCAGGCCCUUCCCCGUCCGUCCACAGGUCUCAUGGGCGCCCGGACUGGGGCUGAUGUAGUUUCCCGACCUCUGACACAUAGGAUCUGGAGAUUAAAGCUGCUCUGCUAAUAAUUAGGUUCCCACCUCUCAAGAUCAUUAGGAGCUUCUUUUCCAAUUCCUCUGUUUUGCAUGCAUUGGAAGGAUCUGGAGCUCAGGACCCACUACCUCCCCGGCCCACUGCAAGCUUGAACAUUUGAUGGUGGACACCCCUCCCUGACUUUGUAUUAUGUGUCACUGGUGUGGGGGUUACCUUCCCACUAUGUCUCCCAGAAGACAUGAGGGCACAGACUACAGUGCCUGUGGACAGAGGAGCUGUGGGGAUGGAAGUGUGAUUGCUUCAUUCAAAUGCACGCCCCGGUGCGUGUGCGUCUCUUCUGAUGCAGCUCCCCAUGGCUGAAUACUUCUGUAUGUCAGCUUAGCACCCCUAGCAUCAGCCAUGCUACUCUCCUGCUGUGCAUAGAUGGGGGCCUGUCCCCCUGCUGAAUCUCCUGGGUUCCUGCUGUCAACACCUGAAGGCCCCUGGAUCCUCCUGGAAUCCCUGAUCCCUGUUGCUCCCUGGCGGAGUUUUCUAGUCCCUCUUACUUGAAGCAUGUCUUUCAGAGCCCGGCACCACCCAAGUUGGGUAUCUGAUACCCCAUCAGCCUGAGUCUCUUAAAGGCCUUUAUACACAUAUGUCUACACAUAGGGAUUUGGAUGAUCUCGGGAUCCCACAUCCUCGCUGUCCCCUGUCCCCCCACAACAUCCCACACCAAUACCUUUCUGAAGUUUUCUAGUCCCUCCUUUUUGUUUGUGGUCCUUAAAGCCCAGCCCCAUGCCUGACUUUGGUUCCCAGUGAGCAUUGUACAUUUGUGGAUAUUAAAUCUUUGGCAAAGUCAUUU